GGCGGCGUAGCCAAGUGGUAAGGCGACGGCCUGCAAAGCCGUGAAUCCGGGGUUCGAAUCCCCGCGCCGCCUCCA
rnacentral:tRNA from 2 species